rnacentral:tRNA from 1 species
GGCCCCAUGGUCAAGCGGCUAAGACAUCGCCUUCUCACGGCGGAAACAGGGGUUCGAUUCCCCUUGGGGCUA